UACGUAAGGUCCGAGCGUUGUCCGGAAUCAUUGGGCGUAAAGGGUACGUAGGCGGGUAAGCAAGUUAGAAGUGAAAUCCUGUAGCUCAACUACAGUAAGCUUUUAAAACUGCUCAUCUUGAGAUAUGGAAGGGAAAGUGGAAUUCCUAGUGUAGCGGUGAAAUGCGCAGAUAUUAGGAGGAAUACCGGUGGCGAAGGCGACUUUCUGGCCAUAAUCUGACGCUGAGGUACGAAAGCGUGGGUAGCAAACAGG
rnacentral:rRNA from 1 species